UUACCCAUAUUAUGAUCACAUGCAAAAGUCACUACUGAAAAUUCACUCUACACCCAGUGAUUGGCUCUUUGCUGGGAGCCAAAACACGGUCGGGCACUCGGCAACCCGAAGUAGGUGGCUGGGCCUGCCUCACCCUCGUCCGCACAAGGCCUACGCAUGUCACAAGGAGAUCACAUAGGAUUUCUCAUGCCGCUUCUGGGCAUGAUUUCAUCUGUCACCUUGCAUAUCUGCAAUUUCUGACGCAGAAACCAUAGCAGUGCAAUAAAUGUCUCAAAUAUUACAGGCGGGUCCGAAAAAUGUGGGGGCCUGGCACGUGUCAUUCGAAGGCCUCCUUUGAGAGCAUAAGAACUUCUAGGCCAACAGAGCAACAUGACCCGCACUGCCUUCACAAACCCGACACGUUUGUUGACUAGUCAUGCUUAAAGAUCAUGAAUCUUACCAUCUUACCUUCUCGUUCUUGAAGUGUUCUCAGUCAGGACAAGCAAGCCCAGUGACUCCCACUACGGCUCAUGGCGCUUCGACCUCCUUGCAACAAUGAUCACUCGAGGUUUGCAUCGUGGAUGCCGUUGACGGUGGGCACACAUGCUACGGUGGAGCACAUUGCAUGUUUGAGGUUCAUGCUUGGUGUGAACUUGGAACUCAUGCUUUUGUUUGUGAACCUUGUUGGAUAUGUACCUGUGUGGACUUUGGACUCAUGGUCAAUUUGUUAUGGUUGUCAAGUUGUAAUAUAUUGUUGUUGUGAACCUUCGUUGGUUAUAUAUUACUUGUUGGAUCUAUAUUUGCUGGA